UAUGGUAGCCAGCAGCCGCGGUAAAACGUAGGUCACAAGCGUUGUCCGGAAUUACUGGGUGUAAAGGGCGCGCAGGCGGGAAGACAAGUUGGAAGUGAAAUCCAUGGGCUCAACCCAUGAACUGCUUUCAAAACUGUUUUUCUUGAGUAGUGCAGAGGUAGGCGGAAUUCCCGGUGUAGCGGUGGAAUGCGUAGAUAUCGGGAGGAACACCAGUGGCGAAGGCGGCCUACUGGGCACCAACUGACGCUGAGGCUCGAAAGUGUGGGUAGCAAACAGG
rnacentral:rRNA from 1 species